rnacentral:lncRNA from 1 species
GUAUACCAAAAGCCAGCUGAGCCUUUCCUUCCACAGUGUCCACAGAAGAAAAUGCGCCUGAUCCAGCCAGCAUUUUCUCACUAUUUGAUUCCAGAGCAUGGGAUAUUUGUAGGUGCUUUUCUCACCAUGCAGUCCCUUUAGAUUUGGGCGUGAUAACCAACCUGCACAUUGGACAUUUGGCUUGUAUUCCCAUAUCUUCUUCCUGCUUUUCCGAAGGAUAUGAUCUUAAAUUGUCCUGGCUUGAGCAGUAAAGGAUAAAUUUGUUCACUGUCUGACUCGUCAUCUCACCGUUGUGAUGGAAAAAUGCUCGCUUAAUAUAAACCCUUUUUAUUCUACUAAAACCUUUGAAUACAAGAUCUGUUGUGAUU